AUGUUGACUAAUCAGUGUUGACAUCCUUCAACUGAUUGAAAAAUCUGACAACUGAUUGCAAGGGUGCUGAAAAAGGUAUCUGUUGUUGAGACGACAAAGAGGACGAGAAUAAAUCCAGGGAGAGAGCCAAAAAGGAUGCCUCGUCACAGAUGGAGACGACAGUGGGCGGGGGCAAACAGGAAAUAGAAUCUGAGUCUAAACCGUCUGACAGGAAGAGGAAACACACGGCCGAGUUUGCAGAGGGCGUAGCACCUGCGGAGGGCACAGGGAAGCCCCCAUCCAGAAAGCUAGAGAAGAAGAGACGGUGGUCCCAGACAGGGGAGAGCUCAGAGAGUGACGCACAGGGAGACAUGCCAUCCAAGCUGAGGAAGACGAGUGAGGAUGACAUGGUGGAGAGCGAUGGGAAAGACCUGCAAGUCAAGGGUGAGGAAGAGGAGGAGAAGAUGGAAGACUUCCUACUGAAAGCCAAGAGGACAAGGAAGAAGAAGCACAAGGAGAGGGUGAAGAUCAGGGAAGAGGUUAUUCCUCUCCGGGUUCUCUCCAAGAAAGACUGGCUGAAGCAGGAGUAUAUGACCCUGCAGAAGAGGAGCAUGGGAGCUCUGAAGACUUGCUUGACCAAGUUCCACCACAAGGGGGCAGGAGGGAAGAUGGACACCAGUCUGCAACAGACAUCCGAGGAGAGUAAGGCAGGUGAAAAGGAGACUUCCCUCGGGGCUGCAUCAUCUAGAUCACACUCACCAAACCCUUUCCUGGCAGAAAAGUCAUCAAGGAUGCUCUCGCAGAGGUUUCCCCAGUGGUGUAUGUGGACGCCAUAG
rnacentral:lncRNA from 13 species